GGUGCGGAACACGUACGCAACCUUCCCAUAACUGGUGAAUAGCCCUCCNAAAGGAGGAUUAAUACACCGUAACAUAACGAGAUGGCAUCAUCUUGUUAUUAUAGGCUUCGGCCGGUUUUGGAUGGGCGUGCGCCUGAUUAGGUAGUUGGCGGGGUAACGGCCCACCAAGCCUACGAUCAGUAACUGGUGUGAGAGCACGACCAGUCACACGGGCACUGAGACACGGGCCCGACUCCUACGGGAGGCAGCAGUAAGGAAUAUUGGUCAAUGGACGAAAGUCUGAACCAGCCAUGCCGCGUGAAGGAUGAAGGCCCUCUGGGUUGUAAACUUCUUUUAUAG
rnacentral:rRNA from 1 species